rnacentral:tRNA from 1 species
GAGAUGCAGCCUAAUGGUAGCGUGCAUGGCUAAUAUAUUUGAGGUCCUGGGUUCAAUCUCCAGCACACA